UUUUAUGGAGAGUUUGAUCCUGGCUCAGGAUGAACGCUGGCGGCGUGCCUAAUACAUGCAAGUCGAGCGAACAGACGAGGAGCUUGCUCCUCUGACGUUAGCGGCGGACGGGUGAGUAACACGUGGAUAACCUACCUAUAAGACUGGGAUAACUUCGGGAAACCGGAGCUAAUACCGGAUAAUAUAUUGAACCGCAUGGUUCAAUAGUGAAAGACGGUUUUGCUGUCACUUAUAGAUGGAUCCG
rnacentral:rRNA from 1 species